UUUACAUUGAAGCUCGAGGUUUUUUUUUUCGGGUGCACGCAUCUCAGGCUUGAAUGAGAGCCGGGGCUCGGCUCGUCUCGGGGCUAAUGGCCGAGUCGCGGCCUAACGGCUAACGGCUAGCACAACUGAGUGUGUUGACGAACGAGCGUUUGAAAUCCCACAAAGAGUCAGCCCCCUUCAGGACGCCAUUCGUCACAUUUCAUUAAGGACCAACAAAACAGGCAAAUUGUGUGCGAGGUACAUAAAUGCAGUCAAAGGAUGUGAAAUAUUUGCAAAGAGUACAAUCGGCAGAGGACAAUUUGUUGCUGAAUAUCGGGGAUAUAUGAUAAAUGAUGCAGAAUACUAGAGCAGAAGAUGAGUUUACCACCAAUCAUGUGCUGCGUUUAUGUUUGCAUUCAAGUGGAGAGGGAAAACAUGGUGCAAUGAUGCUUCACAAGAAGAUGAGUCAUUUGGGCGACCAGUGAAUGAUGAACACAGGAGGCCAAAUUGCCAGAUGAAAAGGAUUGAUGUGGAUGGUGUGCCACACCUAUGUUUGUUUGCUUUCAAUGACAUUCAAGAGGGAGAAGAAAUGACCGAUGAUUAUGGUGGCGAAGACUGCCCAUGGAGAACACAAAUGACCAGCCUUUACAGUCACAGAUGUGGCUCCUCAACCCUCUGUACUGCCUCAGAGUCAGAUGCAACAUACACCAGAUGACCAAGACAAUACCCAAUGAGACUACUUUAAGAGAAAACUGUUGCGAUACUGCUGGUCCAAGCAACAUACACCAGAUGACCAAGACAAUACCCAAUGAGACUACUUUAAGAGAAAACUGUUGCGAUACUGCUGGUCCAAGCAACAUACACCAGAUGACCAAGACAAUACCCAAUGAGACUACUUUACAAGAAAACUGUUGCGAUACUGCUGGUCCAGGCAACAUUCACCAGAUGACUAAGACAACACCGAAAGAGGCGACUUUACAUGAACUCUGUUGUGAUAGUGCUGGUCCAAGCAACAUACAUCAGAUGACUAAGACAACACCCAAAGAGGCGACUUUACUUGAACCCUGUUGUGAUACUGCUGGUCCAAGCAAAAUACAUCAGAUGACCAAGACAACACCGAAAGAGGCGACUUUACAUGAACUCUGUUGUGAUAGUGCUGGUCCAAGCAACAUACAUCAGAUGACCAAGACAACACCCAAAGAGGCGACUUUACCUGAACCCUGUUGUGAUAGUGCUGGUCCAAGCAAUAUACAUCAGAUGACUAAGACAACACCCAAAGAGGCGACUUUACUUGAACCCUGUUGUGAUACUGCUGGUCCAAGCAAAAUACAUCAGAUGACCAAGACAACACCCAAAGAGGCGACUUUACCUGAACCCUGUUGUGAUAGUGCUGGUCCAAGCAAUAUACAUCAGAUGACUAAGACAACACCCAAAGAGGCGACUUUACUUGAACCCUGUUGUGAUACUGCUGGUCCAAGCAAAAUACAUCAGAUGACCAAGACAACACCGAAAGAGGCGACUUUACAUGAACUCUGUUGUGAUAGUGCUGGUCCAAGCAACAUACAUCAGAUGACCAAGACAACACCCAAAGAGGCGACUUUACCUGAACCCUGUUGUGAUAGUGCUGGUCCAAGCAAUAUACAUCAGAUGACUAAGACAACACCCAAAGAGGCGACUUUACUUGAACCCUGUUGUGAUACUGCUGGUCCAAGCAAAAUACAUCAGAUGACCAAGACAACACCCAAAGAGGCGACUUUACUUGAACCCUGUUGUGAUACUGCUGGUCCAAGCAAAAAAAAAAAAAAAAAGCUCUGUCAUCCAAGCAGGGCUCGGAGUCAAGCCGCUGCUCCUCCGCAUUGAGAAGAGCCAGAGGAAGUGGCUCAGCCAUCUGUUUAGGAUGCCACCGGGACGCCUCCAUGAAAAGGUGUUUCGGGAGAAAGAAGUGAGAAUGAUAAUCCGUGCCAAUUAACACCCAAGAGACGGACACCAUUUUCAAAUAAAGACAGGCCAUCAUCAGAUGAUGAUGAAAUUCCAUCAAGUAUUCCUGCCAAGAGAUCUUCCUUCAAAGUACUUCUAGGAAAGAGGAAGAGAACUCCCUGGCAGGAAAGCGAAAUAAAGGCAGUGGAAAGGCACAUGAUGGGACUCAUCAAAUCUUUUUGCGUCCCAGGAAAAAUGGAUUGCGAAAGAUGUUUAAGGGCUGAACCAGAAGCCCUUAAAACACGAGACUGGCAAACCCUCAAGUAUUAUGUUUAUAACCGCAUUUCGGCUGCCAAAAAGAAAUUGCAGCACAAAUAAGUUUUCAAUCAAUCUGUUGAGGCACUUUUAUUUUCAUUAUGGAUAUUUCACUUUGAAUGUAUUUUAAAACAAUAUCAACAGUUUGUUUGAUGUUUGUUUAAGGUAGACCAUAGGUGUCAAACUCUGGUCCUGGAGGGCCGCUGCCCUGCAUGUUUUCCAAGUCUCCCUGUUGCAACACACCUGAUUCAAAUGAUCAGAUCAUCAGCAAGCUCUGGGCAAGCCUGACAUUGAACCUGUUCAUUUGAAUUUGGCUGGAUCUUUGAUUGCAACAACAUGCCAGAAAUGUCUUCCAUUCUCUGAAGCAGACAUAUUCGAGUCACAUGACAUUUAACAAACAAAAUAUAUCAAAAUAGAUUAUUUCAACGAUUAUUAUUCAAAUGAAUUGACUUUCAUUUGACAGUUGGGUUCAGAUGCUUGCCAUUUUUGAUGAGUAAUGCACUUUGUGUGAGGUCCCCAGUAAUCACAUGUACUUGGUAUAGAUCCUGUGUGAAUUAUGUAAAUACAUUUAAAUAUAUUUAAAUUAAGUCCUCAUAAGGCAUGUAAACUGGACUUUUCUGAAGUCCCCAUAUGACAUGGUCCAACCACAUGACUUCAUAAAUUCUGAUAUUUAAAGGUGUUUAUAAGCUAACACCACCACCUUGUGUAUCCCUGAUUUUUUGCAGAGCUCUAUGUCAUUUAGAAAGGGUGGUCCCCGAAAGUGAUGAACUAAAAAGUAGUCCCCACAAAUCACAUAAACCGGUCUGUGUGUGUGUGUGUGUGUGUGUGUGUGUGUGUGUGUGUGUGUGUGUGUGUGUGUGUGUGUGUUUAUUGU